rnacentral:sRNA from 1 species
GGUAUCUCUGUCUCGUUAGGUU